CCUACGGGAGGCAGCAGUGGGGAAUAUUGGACAAUGGGCGCAAGCCUGAUCCAGCAAUGCCGCGUGUGUGAAGAGGGCCUUCGGGUUGUAAAGCACUUUUAUCAGGAGCGAAAUACCACGGGUCAAUAACCUAUGGGGCUGACGGUACCUGAGGAAUAAGCACCGGCUAACUUCGUGCCAGCAGCCGCGGUAAU
rnacentral:rRNA from 1 species